GCCGCGGUAGUGUAGCCAGGCCAAGCAUUCGAGGCUUUCGCCCUCGCGACAGGGGUUCGAAUCCCCUCCGCGGCACCA
rnacentral:tRNA from 1 species